GUUCUGCCUCCAACCGGUGCCACAGACUGCCCCCAAAUCUCAUUCUCCCUCCUAACCUAAAUCCGCCGCCGCCGCCUUUCGAGCUCUCUCUCGCCGUCCAGCUACGUGCUCUUCGGCCGGCGAGGCUUUGACCCCCUCUCCCACUCGUUCCCCAGCGUCUCCACCGUCGACCCCACACCAUUCUGUUCCUCGGUGAGUGCUCUCUCCGGCCAGCCUCCGCGCGUAAGCUUCCAGCGAGGCUGCCGCCGCCCUGCCUGGCCCGUCCUCCCCCUCUCCACCAUGGUAUCCACCAUGGCCGUCGGAGUACAGAAGAGAUCUUGGCGGCGGCGAGAGAGGGCUCGGGAUAGGGUUAAUGAGGGGCUUCAUAUAGAGAGGAGAAAAGAGGUCCUCGGCUCCUUCCCCUUCGACCUUCCCCAGCCGGAUCUGCUCCCCUUCGGCCUUCCCCAGCCGGAUCUGCUCCCCUUCAGCCUUCCCCAGCCGGAUCUGCUCCCCUUCGGUCUUCCCCAGCCGGAUCUGCUCCCCUUCGCCCUUCCCCAGCCGGAUCUGCUCCCCUUCAUCCACCCUGACUCCCCGAGCUCCUCCCUCAGGAAUGUCUUAAGAGAGUUAUCCCCUAUGAGCACAUGGACAUUGCAUAAUCAGUCUUAUCAUGGGAAUAAUUUGCCUGCCUAAAGAAGGCGAAGCAAUCAGCCAAGCAAUGAAACUGGAGUCCAGUAAAGAGAAAUCUUCCAGUGACAAUCAAGAGUUGAAUCGUAGACAUUCCAAAGGAGACAAGUCAUCCAACCAUCCAGCAGAAGUGUAGACAGUUUAAAGAAACCAGCACUUGAUCUGGGCAAUAAUAGCGCAUCAGUUUCAUCUAGUUCUAUACAUAAGAAGAUUAUAUGGUCGUGAAGCUCGGCGUUGACAAGAGCAUCACCCUGUAGCUGUGCGUCCUUCUCUAACAAACACUCAAAGCACUACCAUGCCGGGCUAUGGGUACUGCCUCAUUGACCAAGGAUCUACGGCGACGGCGGCACCAGCGACCCCAUGGAGGAAGCACCGAAACCCUAGCCGCUGCUGCUCUCCCUGAGUCCCCUCCUCAUCUCCUCCCUCGUGCGGCGCGUAUGCUCUGCUUCAUCUUUUCUCAAACCUCCACUAGUCAAAUUCGACUGGGAAAAAGAAACACCUACAUACAUAUCAUCGGAUGUUCAAGCUGGAGGAUGUGGCGAUGGAAUAUGGAUCAAUGAUAUGAAGAAAGGUGUUGAUGUCAAGUACGAGAAUGAUGGAAGGAUCUUGUGGUUAUCUAGUUGCCCACCAGCAGGAGUCAAUGUAGAUGAUGUGCCUCUAGGGCAAAUUAUAGAAACCAAAGCGACCCAUUUUUGCUCUCUCAAACAAUGAACAUAUUUUGUUCCCUAUUUAAUAAGUUAAAUUAGUUUAUGGGAAAUUUUGAUGUGAAAAUUAUUGAAUGUGUGUUAUUAUUGUUUGGUUUUGGUUUACUAUUGUUCGACGACAUGCACGUUAUUGUAAUGAUUUGGGUAACUUCA